rnacentral:rRNA from 1 species
AUUGAACGCUGGCGGCAUGCUUUACACAUGCAAGUCGAACGGCAGCGCGGGCUUCGGCCUGGCGGCGAGUGGCGAACGGGUGAGUAAUGCAUCGGAACGUGCCCAGUAGUGGGGGAUAGCCCGGCGAAAGCCGGAUUAAUACCGCAUACGACCUGAGGGUGAAAGCGGGGGACCGAAAGGCCUCGCGCUAUUGGAGCGGCCGAUGUCGGAUUAGCUAGUUGGUGGGGUAAAGGCUUACCAAGGCGACGAUCCGUAGCUGGUCUGAGAGGACGACCAGCCACACUGGGACUGAGACACGGCCCAGACUCCUACGGGAGGCAACAGUGGGGAAUUUUGGACAAUGGGGGCAACCCUGAUCCAGCCAUGCCGCGUGCGGGAAGAAGGCCUUCGGGUUGUAAACCGCUUUUGUUCGGGAAGAAAUCCUCUGGGCUAAUACCCCGGGGGGAUGACGGUACCGGAAGAAUAAGCACCGGCUAACUACGUG